CUAGACCUUUCAUUCUUCUCAUCUUUGUUUCUCCUCUCUCACGAAGGCAAUAAAACCUAAACCACUCAACCUCUUCGCGUCUACUUUUUUUGGUAUGUAUCUUGGAUGUCUUAUGAAAGUUGAAAAGGAGAUUGGUGAUAUUGACGGUAUUUUCUUUUUUCAUUUGCAAUUUAUCGUUUUCUUUUUAAUUUAAAAUCUUGCUCUAAGUUCCUUACUUUUUCAUCUUCGUUUAAUGGUGUCUUUAGUCUCGAUGGUAGCUUGUUGUUGCCUUUGUAGACGUAUGCAGUUCAUUGCCCCCAUUUCAUUCAGACCGAGUCGUUUAAAUUUGGAUUCGACUAAGGUAUUUUUGCAUUCUUAGCAAGAGCUUUUAGUAUUUGUAAAAUCUUUGUUUUUUCAGUAUGGUUUGGUAUCAAUUGUUGAUGCCAUGGUAAUUUUCUAUAUGUUGAAGGCUACUAAAGGGUUGGAUAAUGAUAUAAUUCCUCAUGAUUUUGGUCGGUGCAAGGUUAAUUAUAUAGUUGUGGAAUUUACCAAUCGAUUUCUUUUUCAAUUGAAAAUUUUGCUCUUGAGUUCCUACCUUUUCAACUUCAUUUAAAUUGUGUCUAUAGUCUCAAUGGUAGCUGGUUGUUGCCUCUGCAGACAUAUACAUGUGAUUGCCCCCAUUUCAUUCGGACUAAGUUGUUUAAGUUUUAAAGUCUUGCAGGUACAAUCACCCCAAAAAAAGGAUUAAGUUAUUUUUUCAUUUUUUUGCAAGGUCUUUUCUUGUUUUCUGAUUUUAAUUUUCACUUGAACUGAUCUUUUGUUUCUAACUUUUUGCAUCAUCAGUGGUGAAGUUUCCAUCAUUUCUAGAUGAUGUGGCUAUGACUCUUACUGAAGAAGAGUUUGGACAACAAUGUUGUAUGUGAAGCUCAUGUAUUAUAAUGACAACAUCCCUCGGCCAAGUUUACAAGGGCUAGCUAAAAGAGAAUUGUGAUCUGGAAGCUGUCAAAGUACAGAGGCCUUUUGUCCUGAGUUCAACAAUAGAUUUAUUCAUUACAAGCCACUUAGGACUUUCUCUUUGCAAAUUUUUGCAGGUAGUGACUGUUCAUUUUCUUGUUCUGUAUUAUAUGUGGAAGAGGUUAUGAACAAGUAGUGAUCUACCUCAAAUCUAAUUUUUAAUAUAUCUGUUAACACUGUUGGAUUGGUUGAUAAAUGAGCUGCUAACUUCUUUGAGGAACUUGAUUAAGUUAGCGACGGAGAGGAUGGAACAGUUUUUGCUGAAAAUGUCAAUUUUUU